rnacentral:rRNA from 1 species
UACGUAGGGUGCAAGCGUUGUCCGGAAUUAUUGGGCGCAAAGAGCUCGUAGGCGGUUCGUCGCGUCGGCUGUGAAAUCCCGAGGCUCAACCUCGGGUCUGCAGUCGAUACGGGCGGACUGGAGUACUGCAGGGGAGACUGGAAUUCCUGGUGUAGCGGUGAAAUGCGCAGAUAUCAGGAGGAACACCGGUGGCGAAGGCGGGUCUCUGGGCAGUUACUGACGCUGAGGCGCGAAAGCGUGGGGAGCAAACAGG